ACGGGUGAGUAACGCGUAUGCAACCUGCCUUUAACAGAGGGAUAGCCCAUAGAAAUGUGGAUUAAUACCUCAUAGUUCUUUUGUUCCGCAUGGGAUGAAAGAUAAAGCUCCGGCGGUUAAAGAUGGGCAUGCGUGACAUUAGCUAGUUGGUAAGGUAACGGCUUACCAAGGCAACGAUGUCUAGGGGUUCUGAGAGGAUGAUCCCCCACACUGGUACUGAGACACGGACCAGACUCCUACGGGAGGCAGCAGUGAGGAAUAUUGGUCAAUGGGCGCAAGCCUGAACCAGCCAUCCCGCGUGAAGGAUGAAGGCCCUAUGGGUCGUAAACUUCUUUUAUACACCAAGAAAAAGCAGGACGAGUCCUGUCCCGACGGUAGUGUAUGAAUAAGCAUCGGCUAACUCCGUGCCAGCAGCCGCGGUAAUACGGAGGAUGCGAGCGUUAUCCGGAUUCAUUGGGUUUAAAGGGUGCGUAGGCGGCUUUUUAAGUCAGUGGUGAAAUCUUGCCGCUUAACGGUAAAAUUGCCAUUGAUACUGAUAAGCUUGCGUACAAUUGAGGUAAGCGGAAUGUGUAGUGUAGCGGUGAAAUGCUUAGAUAUUACACAGAACACCGAUUGCGAAGGCAGCUUACUAAACUGUCACUGACGCUGAUGCACGAAAGCGUGGGGAGCGAACAGGAUUAGAUACCCUGGUAGUCCACGCCGUAAACGAUGAUCACUCGCUGUAUGCGAUACACAGUAUGCGGCCAAGCGAAAGCAUUAAGUGAUCCACCUGGGGAGUACGAUCGCAAGGUUGAAACUCAAAGGAAUUGACGGGGGCCCGCACAAGCGGAGGAACAUGUGGUUUAAUUCGAUGAUACGCGAGGAACCUUACCUGGGCUUAAAUGGGGAACGACAGCUGCCGAAAGGUA
rnacentral:rRNA from 1 species